GACAUCUGCAGAUAUUUAUUUGAAUUUUGUUGAAUUGUUCUCAUCAAUAUGAGAAGAGAGCAGGCUGAAUGGAAGACAGUCAUUAUGACCACUGGGGCCACUAGGGGGUGUCCAGAGAAGGUAACUACUUUGCCCACAUCCUAAACUGCCUAGCCCUGUGGUCUUGGGCUAAUCACUAACCUGCUUAGAUACAAUUUUCUUCUCUGUGAAAUAGAAACAAUAUUAUAUGCUUUGAAGGACUGCAGGGAGAUGAGCUGUAAUGUUUAUCAAGUGCCUGGAGUGGAAAAGGAAGACCUCUCUUCCUGUGUUUCUGCCCUAUGCUCUUAAGCCAGAAAAGGUACCAACAUCACUGACCUGACCUUGUCUCAGGUAUCUAUCAG